GAGGGUAUAGCUCAGUGGUAGAGCAUGUGCUUAGCAUGCACAAGGUCCUGGGUUCAGUCCCCAGUACCUCCA
rnacentral:tRNA from 1 species